rnacentral:rRNA from 1 species
ACUUUUAAAUAAGUAAGAGUUUUGGUGGAUGCCUUG